rnacentral:rRNA from 1 species
CGGCGGACGGGUGAGUAAUGCCUAGGAAUCUGCCUGGUAGUGGGGGACAACGUUUCGAAAGGAACGCUAAUACCGCAUACGUCCUACGGGAGAAAGCAGGGGACCUUCGGGCCUUGCGCUAUCAGAUGAGCCUAGGUCGGAUUAGCUAGUUGGUGAGGUAAUGGCUCACCAAGGCGACGAUCCGUAACUGGUCUGAGAGGAUGAUCAGUCACACUGGAACUGAGACACGGUCCGAGACUCCUACGGGAGGCAGCAGCC